rnacentral:rRNA from 1 species
UGAGACACGGCCCAGACUCCUACGGGAGGCAGCAGUGGGGAAUAUUGCACAAUGGGCGGAAGCCUGAUGCAGCAACGCCGCGUGCGGGAUGACGGCCUUCGGGUUGUAAACCGCUUUCAGUUCCGACGAAGCGAAAGUGACGGUAGGAACAGAAGAAGGACCGGCCAACUACGUGCCAGCAGCCGCGGUGAUACGUAGGGUCCGAGCGUUGUCCGGAAUUAUUGGGCGUAAAGAGCUCGUAGGCGGUUUGUCGCGUCUGCUGUGAAAGCCCGGGGCUCAACCCCGGGUCUGCAGUGGGUACGGGCAGACUAGAGUGCAGUAGGGGAGACUGGAAUUCCUGGUGUAGCGGUGAAAUGCGCAGAUAUCAGGAGGAACACCGAUGGCGAAGGCAGGUCUCUGGGCUGUUACUGACGCUGAGGAGCGAAAGCAUGGGGAGCGAACAGGAUUAGAUACCCUGGUAGUCCAUGCCGUAAACGUUGGGCACUAGGUGUGGGGGACAUUCCACGUUUUCCGCGCCGUAGCUAACGCAUUAAGUGCCCCGCCUGGGGAGUACGGCCGCAAGGCUAAAACUCAAAGGAAUUGACGGGGGCCCGCACAAGCGGCGGAGCAUGCGGAUUAAUUCGAUGCAACGCGAAGAACCUUACCAAGGCUUGACAUUCACCGGACCGCCCCAGAGAUGGGGUUUCCCUUCGGGGCUGGUGGACAGGUGGUGCAUGGUUGUCGUCAGCUCGUGUCGUGAGAUGUUGGGUUAAGUCCCGCAACGAGCGCAACCCUCGUUCUAUGUUGCCAGCACGUGAUGGUGGGGACUCAUAGGAGACUGCCGGGGUCAACUCGGAGGAAGGUGGGGAUGACGUCAAGUCAUCAUGCCCCUUAAGUCCAGGGCUUCACGCAUGCUACAAUGGCCGGUACAAAGGGUUGCGAUACUGUGAGGUGGAGCUAAUCCCAAAAAGCCGGUCUCAGUUCGGAUUGAGGUCUGCAACUCGACCUCAUGAAGUCGGAGUCGCUAGUAAUCGCAGAUCAGCAACGCUGCGGUGAAUACGUUCCCGGGCCUUGUACACACCGCCCGUCAA